rnacentral:rRNA from 1 species
UGGGGAAUCUUGCACAAUGGGGGAAACCCUGAUGCAGCGACGCCGCGUGAGUGAUGAAGCCCUUCGGGGUGUAAAGCUCUUUCGACAGGAACGAUAAUGACGGUACCUGGAGAAGAAGCUGCGGCUAACUACGUGCCAGCAGCCGCGGUAAUACGUAGGCAGCAAACGUUGUUCGGAGUUACUGGGCGUAAAGAGUGCGUAGGCGGUUUGCCAAGUCUGGUGUGAAAUCUCCUGGCUUAACUGGGAGGGUGCGCCGGAUACUGGCAGGCUUGAGUGUGGGAGAGGAAAGCAGAAUUCCUGGUGUAGCGGUGAAAUGCGCAGAUAUUAGGAGGAACACCGGUGGCGAAGGCGCCGCUCUGGGCCGAAACUGACGCUGAGGAGCGAAAGCAUGGGUAGCAAACAGGAUUAGAUACCCGCGUAGUCCCUGAGCGGGCUGGCAAGGCGCAU